rnacentral:rRNA from 1 species
CCCUUUGAUACUCUGGGCGGCACGCGCGCUACACUGGAUAACUUAACGUGUUACAUGUCCGAAAGGAUGUAUGCAAAUCACAAAUGUUAUGUCUCGAGUGGGAUAGUUUACUGCAAUUAUAGACUUGAACUAGGAAUCCCUUGUAGGUACACUGAGGCAUAGUGUACCGAAUACGUCCCUGCCGUUUGUACACACCGCCCGUCGUUUCUUCCGACUGAUACUCAUUGUGAAUUGCGGGGAUAACGUUGUUGAAAACCGUUGUAAAUGCUGGGUAUUGGAGGAAGAAAAAGUCGUAACA